AUUUCAGAAACCCCUAUUGUGGACCGUACCAUUUUUAACCACCGUGGCGCUAGAAGCAACUGAGCAAGUGUCAACAUUGAAUGACAAAACGCUAGGUAAAUUCCUCCAGUAGGCAAAAUUCAGUUUGCUGCUGACGUGCAUGGGUAAAUGCACUGCCUUCACAGAUGCUGUGUGUGUUGAGUGUGUAGGUGCCACAUACUCCAACGGAUCCUUCACAUCCCGCAGACCACACACACGGUGUGGUUGUUCACGCGGAAGCCAGGAACCCACACAGAUGACGCUUACUGU